UGACUCAGAGAUUGUUCCAGAAUGGACCCCUCACCUAGGCCUUGGCAACUGGACAGGAUGUUCCCUGGGUAAGGAUGAUCCCUGGGGACGGGCUGUGGUGGAGACGUCAUUAUGGCAAAGCCCAUUGGGUUUGUUCAGUCACUGAGAAAAGAAAAGCUCUUUUUCUCCACAAGGGGACUAAAAACUCAGCAUUGCCCAAGGUUUCAGCAGCCAACUUGCUACUGUGAAAAAGUGGGCCUGAGAAUAAAUCAGAUCCUGGUGAAAAUACACUAGGUUCUUGAUGACUCUGGGUCCCCACUGGAUCCUGAGACCCUGAUGGUUCUAACAGCAGCCCUUGUUUUCUCUUUUUGUUUUUGUUUUCAAUUCUGGUUUGGUCUGAGUUUCUGGUUUGUGAGCUGGCAGUCGGCUUUACCACAGUCAAAUCGCCAGCAGACUUCCAAAUUCCUCUCUGACCUAGUACUUCCAGCUGGAGAAACAUGAGCUUUCUGCUACUUUUCUCAUUAAAAAUCCCCAAGAAUACCAGGAGUUCUGUUUUUUCCUUUUACUAUGUAUGAGUAAAAGGUCUGUUUCUUGGGUAACUGAUUAUGGUAGCAUGAGUUUUAAAGCGAAAUGAGAAGUCUUCUUAGUAUUGUCAAGGACAGAGCAAGGUCACUGAAGCCCAGGGCUAAGCUUUACAUUCUUCACAGUCUCCUGUUUCUUGUCACAAGGCCCUGCCACAGGUGUGCUGAGUGAACCACAGCCAACCCCACACCUGGGGUUUCUGCCUCAAAGUUCCACCACAGGGAGAUGGGGCCACUUUGCCCCACAAAGGGAGCAGCUCAAAAUUGCUGCUUCAGGUGGGGGUGGCAGAGACACUUCCAUGGGGCACGUUCCUGAGUCCUCACCUGGCUCAGAUGUGCUUUUCCCUUGGGGAAGCGGUGCUCCUGAAUCCAGAGAGCUGAUGCUUGCUGGGCCAAGCAUCAGCACAGCAGGGGGAAGUCCAGGCAGGUCAGGCCUCCAGCUCCUUCAGAAUCUGCACGUCCUGCCAAAGCAGCUGUGCCUGCGGCUUAGUUCACAGCGUGGCUUGCAGAUUACGCCAGAGAAGUGAGUGGUAAGGAUCCUUCGUGAAGUGCUUCCACAUGAGAAAAAGACUCAAGGAAGUGGAAUUUUGCUGUUGGAGACCCAGCUUAACAGGCUUUUCACCUUGAGACCUCAGAUGGCAGGGCCCAGAAAUGGACGGAAAAGUCUGUCAACCUCUCAUUUUAAGAGUCUGCAGGAGGAUCAAGACCCUACACAGAACCAGCCUGCAGGCUCCUUGCAAAGGUCAGUGCCAAGUGUCCCCUGGGCCACAGAGCUCAGACAGCUGGUGUCACACAGCUCAGCCAAGGGAAGCCAGGGGUCCAGGGGCUGGGUGUGGGGAGAGAGAAUCUUUCUCUCUCUCUCUCUCUCUCUCUCUCUCUCUCUCACACACACACACACACACACACACACACACGUGCCUGCAUACCCACACACAUACACUCACACACACACACACGUGCCUGCAUACCCACACACAUACACUCACACACACACACACAUGAGUGCCUGCAAACCCACAUGCACACACAUGCAGUCACACACACGUGCACACUCACACAUGUGCACACACCCUGAGCUUAGUACUAGCAGGGCCGUGGGGGUGUCUGCAUUGCUCACAAGAAUCUGAUUUGAUGCAGCUGAAUGAGGUUGGUCCUACUUCCUUGGCCACCUCUCAACCUGGGGCGCUUUGUAGACUUCACCUUUGGAGCCAGCUGGAAACUCCUUUGGGCUUGCCCUUCUCGGUCCCAGGUCAGGGGGAUUCUCCCAAGGGCCCGGCUUUCAAGGGUCUUCUCUGUGGCCAGACCCAUGUCCCUUUUUCCCUAUAGAUCACUCUCUGGGUCUUGGUGGCCCCAGAAUUACUGAUCCCCAGGAGGAGAGCACACUGUCCUGUGUGAGAGCACAGGGGACACCUGGGUGAAGGAUGGUCUGUAGCAUAGGAGGAGAAGAGAGGGGCUUCCAGCCAAGAGCCCUGAGCCCCCAGUCCUGGCUCAUUCUGGUCAGGGGCUUUUGGAGGGUCCCAGGAUCCUGUUUUUACCUGGCCCCCCAGGUUGUUGUGGCUGUGUGUUUGUUCUGGGAGGGCAGGGGAUAGGACAGUUUAUUUAGCAGUUUAAUUUAUAAUCGUUCAUGUUAGUCACUUGUUACCUGAGCCUCUGGUUAUGUUCCUCCCAGAGCCCAGAGUACUUCUGCUUACCAAGUUGCCUCCAGGGAAAGUGACUCAGGUCAAUCCAGGGCAGGACUGGGCUUCCUGCCUGCAUCGGUGCUAGAUGUGGCUCUUGGAAAAUCCUGGGCAUUUCAUGGGGUUUAUCUCAUCUCUGAACUCAGCCCUGUCCCAGAGGGCCAGACCAAAAGGCUGUGACCCCAAAGCAGCCUCAGCCCCCAGCUCUUGUGCGAGGGAAACCAUACCUGUGGGGACACAAGGUGAGGCUUCCUCCCUCUUGUUCAGUAUCAAACAAGCCAUGUGGCCACAGCCACUGAGAGAUUGGAGCAGAUAUAGCUGGCAAGACCUCCCUGGGUGCAGAACCACUGUUCAAAACAAGCCUGUGGACUUUAUGUGGCCUUUAGACAAAGCUUUUCACACUUAACCCCUGGGAAUCCAUCAAGUCCAUGAAAUAUGUUUUCCUCAAGGGCAUGAUCCAGAAGGAUCAGGGAGUUGGUUUUGGAAAAUUAUAUCACAGAAACUUAAUCAUUCAGAGCUUUGGCUUUGAGCUGAGGAAAUCCUAGAGCUGGAGAUGAUGUUGGCAGGUCGAACCCACAUUCCACUAGAUGGCGCCAGAGAAGGGCACGUCUCACCCCACUUUCCUUUGUAACCAGGCUGACCUGGGCUGCUGCUUUAAACCAGGCCUCCGCAAAAAGCCUGGAGGGACAUGUUAACCAAUGAAAUGCAGAUGCUCACUCAAAAUUGCAGAGAAAUAGGUGGAAUUGGAGACCUACAACUCCUUUUAAAAUGGCUGGUGUAUUUUUUUUUUUUAAGUGCUAUAAAAAAAGAAUCUUAAGGAAGUAGUUACUGUGUACACUCAGUCAAUAUUUGCUGGUCAAUAAGGGAACUUCUGCUAAGGAAUCGAGUCCCUGGGAGGUUCAGAAGUGGGUGGUCAGGAGCCUUCAAGUCUCCAAAGGCAGGUGUGAGCUCACGGGGACUUGGCUAAUGAAGAAUGAGGUCUGAGAUCUUGGGCCUGGGCUAGGAGGCCAUUAGUGCAUAAAGUUGGUUAAAUAAGCCACACUCUGCAUUGAUCAGAAGAGUCUGCAUUUAGGUGGGUGAAGUGCUAUCACACUGGGUGGCUUGGAAUUUUUUUUUUUUUUUUUUGCUGGAGCAAAUGAUUUUUUUUUUUCCUGCUGUACAGCAAGGGGAUCAAGUUAUCCUUACAUGUAUACAUUACAAUUACAUUUUUUCCCACCCUUUGUUCUGUUGCAAUAUGAGUAUCUAGACAUAGUUCUCAAUGCUAUUCAGCAGGAUCUCCUUGUAAAUCUAUUCUAAGUUGUGUCUGAUAAGCCCAAGCUCCCGAUCCCUCCCACUCCCUCCCCCUCCCAUCAGGCAGCCACAAGUCUCUUCUCCAAGUCCAUGAUUUUCUCUUCUGUGGAGAUAUUCAUUUGUGCUGGAUAUUAGAGUCCAGUUAUAAGUGAUAUCAUAUGGUAUUUGUCUUUGCCUUUCUGACUCAUUUCACUCAGGAUGAGAGUCUCUAGUUCCAUCCAUGUUGCUGCAAAUGGCAUUAUGUUGUUCUUUUUUAUGGCUGAGGAGUAUUCCAUUGUGUAUACAUACCACCUCUUCCGAAUCCAAUCAUCUGUCAAUGGACAUUUGGGUUGUUUCCAUGUCCUGGCUAUUGUGAAUAGUGCUGCAAUGAACAUGAGGGUUCUUGUGUCUCCUUUAAGUAGAGUUUUGUCCGGAUAUAUGCCCCAAGAGUGGGAUUGUGGGGUCAUAUGGAAGUUCUAUGUAUAGAUUUCUAAGGUAUCUCCAAACUGUUCUCCAUAGUGGCUGUACCAGUUUACAUUCCCACCAACAGUGCAGGAGGGUCCCUUUUCUCCACAGCCCCUCCAGCACUUGUUAUUUGUGGAUUUAUUCAUGAUGGCCAUUCUGACUGGUGUGAGGUGGUAUCUCAUGGUAGUUUUGAUUUGCAUUUCUCUUAUAAUCAGCGAUGUUGAGCAUUUUUUCAUGUGUUUGUUGGCCAUCUGUAUAUCUUCUUUGGAGAAAUGUCUAUUCAGGUCUUUUGCCCAUUUUUGCAUUGAUUGAUUGGUUUUUUUGCUGUUGGGUUGUAUAAGUUGUUUAUAUAUUCUAGAGAUUAAGUCCUUGUCGGUUACCUCACUUGAAACUAUUCUCUCCCAUUCUGUAAGUUGUCUUUUUGUUUUCUUUUGGGUUUCCUUUUCUGUGCAAAAGCUUUUCAGUUUGAUGAGGUCCCAUGGGUUUAUUUUUGCUCUAAUUUCUAUUGCUUUGGGAGACUGACCUGGGAAAAUAUUCAUGAUGUUGAUGUCAGAGAGUGUUUUGCCUAUGUUCUCUUCUAGGAGUUUGAUGGUGUCCUGUCGUAUAUUUAAGUCUUUCAGCCAUUUGGAGUUUAUUUUUGUGCAUGGUGUGAGGGUGUAUUCUAGUUUCAUUGCUUUGCAUGCAGCUGUCCAGGUUUCCCAGCAAUGCUUGCUGAAUAGACUUUCUUUUUCCCAUUUUAUGUUCUUGCCUCCCUUGUCAAAGAUUAAUUGACCAUAGGUGUCAGGGUUUAUUUCUGGGUUCUCUAUUCUGUUCCAUUGGUCUGUCUGUCUGUUUUGAUACCAGUACCACACUGUUUUGAUGACUGUGGCUUUGUAGUAUUUCUUGAAGUCUGGGAGAGUUAUGUGGGUGGCUUGGAAUUUUAGUCAUUGAUCAGUUUUUGUUGGUUAGAAGCAGCUAGAUUGAAAGGCAGCCUUCUGGAGUUCCCAUUGUGGCUCAGUGGUUGAGGAAUCCAACUAGGAACCAUGAGGUUAUGGGUUUGGUCCCUGGCCUUGCUCAGUGGGUUAACAAUCCGGCGUUGCCGUGAGCUGUGGUGUAGAUUGCAGAUGUGGCUCGAAUCUCGAGUUGCUGUGGCUCUGACUUAGGCUGGAGGCUACAACUCCGAUUUGACCCCUAGCCUGGGGACCUCCAUAUGCC
rnacentral:lncRNA from 1 species